AUGUGGUUUUCCAGAAGAUCAGACAAUUCAGAAGUUGUGGAAAAGACAAAAAUAAAUGCUUUCCUGAAUGAGAAAAAAAGACUGGCUUUGUGUGAACAGGUCUGUCUAUAUGUUCUGCAUAUAUCGAUUCUCUGUGCAACAGUGAUGACAAAGAUCAGGACUAAGUUUCAUGUUUCUAGAGAUUCUCUGAUGGCUACCUGGUUGUUGGCGGUACCUUCUGAGAACUAUCUCAGAAGAUGUCUCUAUCUGCUUCUGGAAUCUCAAAUGCCAAGAAGAAAAGGUUGCUCACUACUUCUUUGGACUUAGACCUGGCCAAACCUUGGACAUGAAGUGCUUCUCUCAUUCUUUCACCAAAUAAUUCUCACUCACCCUUGCCUGCCACCAAAUAGCGACAGUGACGGAGUCUCCAUCUUUAUUUUCUUAUCCAUAAACCCCACUCAUUCAACCUUUUAAUGGUGAGUAGCUAUUUUAUUUGCUUUUUUAGUUUAUUUUGCUAAGUGUUAUUUAUAUUCAUUAGGUAUUCUUCACAUACUAUUUUAGUUUUCACUUACCCUAUGGAACAUAUUUAUUACAGUAUAGAAGAUGAGAAAGUCUGAAUUGAGGACUGGACAGAACCCUAACCCAAGAAAUAUGAGGUAUUGCAGAAUAGAAAGCAGUAGGCUAUCGGAAAGAAGAAAUAUUGGUGCUCUCUUUAGUAAACUGGUCAGAACACAGAAAAACAGCCUGGGUAUGAAAUUGUGACCAUUUGCAGUAUGUGACUUAACUGGACCAUUUGAACUCAACCAAUCAUACAACUUAACUGAUAUUCCAGGCCUAACAUGAUCUAAGAUUGUUUAGGAGGUGUCGCUUUUUUGAAAAUCCUAUACCAGUUCCUUUCCCUGAAAAUCCCAUCCCACAGGACCUAACCCCACUGUGUUGGAUUUGGGUUUCCCGCCUUCCCUAGCAGUAAUUGAGUGAACAGUCGCUAGGUCUCAGAGUCUUCAUUGUUCCCUUACCAACUCAAAAUAUAAUUCGUAUCUAAUGGUCUAUUCAUUGCAUUCUAAACAGGAUUUUUAUUUACCUCCCACAUAUAUACCCUUUCAUGUGUUUAAUUAUUGAAUAAUUAGAUAAUUAGUGUCAUGAAUGUGUUAUACAAUGAAGGAAUUCUCUGUGGGUUAUUAAUGUGGAAGUGCUUAGGGUGUUUAAGAGGUAUUUGGGAAAAUUGCUUGGGAUUUUGGAACAGGCUGGGAAUGAAUUAUUUUUCACAUUUAAAAAUAAUAGAACAAAGGCUCCUGUUAUUCAAAAAUUUAAUGUUUAACCCGUUUUCAGGAUUGGGUAGACUCAGAUAACAAGGAAUGCCUGUACUAGCAAAUUGAAUUAAAUGAUACACAAGUAUAAUACACCAGUAUAUCAUGGCCAGUUAAGGUUCAUGCUGUAAAUGAAUAAUGACUCAAUAGUAAUAAAUAUAAUAACAGAGAAUGAGCCA
rnacentral:lncRNA from 1 species